rnacentral:rRNA from 1 species
AUUGAACGCUGGCGGCAGGCUUAACACAUGCAAGUCGAGCGAGCGGCGGACGGGUGAGUAAUGUCUGGGAAACUGCCUGAUGGAGGGGGAUAACUACUGGAAACGGUAGCUAAUACCGCAUACCAUCAGAUGUGCCCAGAUGGGAUUAGCUAGUAGGUGGGGUAAUGGCUCACUUAGGCGACGAUCCCUAGCUGGUCUGAGAGGAUGACCGGCAACACUGGAACUGAGACACGGUCCAGACUCCGAGGGGAGGCGGCAGGGGGGAAUGUUGCACAGUGGGCGCAAGCCUGAUGCAGCCAUGCCGCGUGUGUGAAGAGGGCCUUCGGGUUGUAAAGCACUUUCAGCGAGGAGACGUUACUCGCGGAAGAGGCACCGGCUAACUCCGUGCCGGCGGCCGCGGUAUAC